CUGGCGUACCUAUAGUGUUUUAACGCAUGAGCACAACCACCAGUCCACCACACACCUUCGCGCCCCCCACAUAAGCUGCUUAAUUCCCCCCUCCUGGAGCACACUGGGUCCGGCGGCGGCUCUCGAUCUGCACCGGCGGCUAAGGAAAUGGAAGAUGUUGGGCUUGAGUUUUUGCUGGACGCUGUGGACAGGUUCCCGCUCCGGGAGGUGUUCGCCGACAGCCGGGAGCACCCAGAUCCGGUUCCUCUGGUGUUGUUGCCGGCAAGCGAAGCCAAUUAUGCUGACCCGACAGACUCAAAUGCCGCGUCUGGUUGCGGGCAACAGGUGGGCUGUCGAUGGCGCUGAGAGGGCACAGAGACUGGGGGCAGUGCGCCAGCGACCUGCUCGGCGCAGUCAACUGACAGAGUCGACCCCAAGGCCCUUGUUGGAAAAAGAGGACUAAAGCAAAUAUGCAGAUACAAGUAAUCAAGAUUAAGCUAACGGACAGGAUGCCAUGUCCUUCUAGGAUGAGUGCCCUGGAGCAGUCCAUUAGCAAGUACGCAGAGGAACCUACAAAAAGUGUAAUACGCCCUGAAGUUGCAUGUAAACAUGCUAGGGUGUGGUGAAAACGUCCUGAAGAAGAAAUGGUUCAAACACUUCCAUCCAAUACUAGCGGUGGCGUCCGGUCAGCAUUUGAUGGUGAGCUCACUCCUGGGGGUGAUUUGACACUGAAUUUGUGGAGAUGCAUUCAGUGGAUGCUCAGUGAAAAGGGGAAGAAAAUUUACUGCAGAUGGCUUGAUAGAUAUAGAGGGAUUUUCGAUCGGAGUUUCGUGGACGAGCUUUGAAAGGGAGGAGAAGAAAUGGACUUUGAUUACAUCAGCAUGAUGAUGAACUCGCAAGUGAUGGGCUACAGAAUUGACCAGAUAAAGAAGUUCAUGUUCUUGAUGUUGUUCAUGGAUUGCUGGUCACAGACUCACAGUACAUUCUAGACACUCAGAAGAAGAUUGUGAUGGUACUUGAUCCAACAGAGACAGAUCCAUCAGAUGGGAUGAAGAGAAAGCAUGACGCACUCGCGAAGAAGUUCCAGUGUAGGUUUUGCAACCUUUUUAAUGACAUGUUUGGGCAGGCUUGGUAGAUACAAGUGGAUGGUCAUUUCUGUACCCGUUUGUUGCACAGCACGAGCCAUGUUCCAGGCAAGACAGUGGAGUGUAUGCAGUGCACUACAUACUGGUGUUCACUGGGCUUUACCUGAGAUCAACUCUGAACCAGAAGCUAGUGACGAUGAAGAUUGCACCUGCGCAAGAAGAUUGCAUACGAGAUAGUGACGAUGAAGGGGAACAAGAACAAGGGAGAUAUCCCGGAGUUCCUUUACAAGAAGAUCCUUGACUGAAAUGAAGAGUAGUCGUUCAGUCUACAUGCGGCCCGGCAAGAUCUUUUGGCUGCGCAUGUGCUUGUCUGUUCAGUUGUCCCAAUUAAGUUGCUGGGGCAUUUUGAAGCACAAAAACCUACGAGCUUGUAGCUGAAAAACUAUGGACUUGUACUGAAUUUAUGGAUGGAACCCUAAGCAGACGUAAACGUAGUUGAAGAUAUGUAAUGUGGAGAGAUGACCAUCUCUAUGAAUUUGCAAUGUUAAAACUAUUUGUGAUUUU